GGGUGCCGGAUUGCCCUUACACAUGCAAGUCGAACGGUCUCUUCGGAGAUAGUGGCGGACGGGUGAGUAACGCGUGAGAAUCUGGCUUCAGGUCGGGGACAACAGUUGGAAACGGCUGCUAAUACCGGAUGUGCCGAAAGGUGAAAGAUUUAUUGCCUGAAGAUGAGCUCGCGUCUGAUUAGCUAGUUGGUGUGGUAAGAGCGCACCAAGGCGACGAUCAGUAGCUGGUCUGAGAGGAUGAUCAGCCACACUGGGACUGAGACACGGCCCAGACUCCUACGGGAGGCAGCAGUGGGGAAUUUUCCGCAAUGGGCGAAAGCCUGACGGAGCAAUACCGCGUGAGGGAGGAAGGCUCUUGGGUUGUAAACCUCUUUUCUCAAGGAAUAAAAAAAUGAAGGUACUUGAGGAAUAAGCAUCGGCUAACUCCGUGCCAGCAGCCGCGGUAAUACGGAGGAUGCAAGCGUUAUCCGGAAUGAUUGGGCGUAAAGGGUCCGCAGGUGGCAAUGUAAGUCUGCUGUCAAAGAAUGAGGCUUAACCUCAUCAAGGCAGUGGAAACUACGUAGCUAGAGUACGGUCGGGGUAGAAGGAAUUCCUGGUGUAGCGGUGAAAUGGCGUAGAAUAACAUACCCACAAAC
rnacentral:rRNA from 1 species